CACACACACACACACACACACACACACACACAGCAGUAUGUCCUGUAUUUCCCUUAACGGCUCCAGUAUUUCAAGAUGGCGCAUGAAUAUGGAGCGUCCAAAAAGAAUCCUUGGAAUUGAUGGUUGGGGAUAAAUAAUUAUGAAAAAGGACAAGUUUGUGAACGGGUAACACCAAUUUUGAUAAUGGACAGCU